UUGCCUACGGGACGCAGCAGUGGGGAAUAUUGCACAAUGGGGGGAACCCUGAUGCAGCAAUGCCGCGUGGGUGAAGAAGCACUCCGGUGCGUAAAGCCCUGUCAGCAGGGAAGAAAAUGACGGUACCUGACUAAGAAGCCCCGGCUAACUACGUGCCAGCAGCCGCGGUAAUACGUAGGGGGCAAGCGUUAUCCGGAUUUACUGGGUGUAAAGGGAGCGUAGACGGUGCAGCAAGUCUGAUGUGAAAGGUCGGGGCCCAACCCCGGGACUGCACUGGAAACUGUUGAACUGGAGUACAGGAGAGG
rnacentral:rRNA from 1 species